rnacentral:lncRNA from 1 species
CCGGGACUGCGCCUGCGCGGGAAGUCGUGGCCCAGCGUGCAUGUUGGGUUCCCCUCACUGACAGGCACGGGAACAAGGUCGGAGGGCAGAGUCCACGGGAGCGACACGGAGGCCAGGACAGCUGCUGACGCCUGGUCUGGGUCAGUGGGGAGCCCUGGUGACUCGGCCCGGUCCGGUGCUCCCAUCCUCAUCCAACGCGCUCCUCACAGGGGUGACCCCCAGCGAGGUGCCUGCGCCUACGUUCCGGGCGGACCCUGCAGGUUUCCUAUCAGAUGUUCCACCGUAAUAAUGCUGGAGUUAAGAAGUCUCCAUUUCUUUGCUCCAAACCAGAAGACUUUGUUCCCUGCAUAUAGAGUAGGAGUAAUGUUGGUUAGAAACUGGCUGGUGUUUAAAACUGAAGAUUGUCAUGACUGUUUAACCUAAACCCUAUUCUGAAGUAAAAAUAAUUGUCUUGGAAAUACUAAGUUGGGUAAGUAUUUUUUAAUAAAGGUUUAUAUUGAGUGGUGACA